AAGCGUUCUCAGGGCGGGGUGGAAUUCCCCACCGGCGGUCAUGGCGAACGGAGGCUUCCUCCAUCCGCACGAGCCCGCGAGCGCCCGCUAGCCGUCUGCGCCGGCGGGGUCAGCAGACCCGGUGUGAUUCCGGGGCCGACGGUCACAGUCCGGAUGCAAGAGAGCGCGA
rnacentral:ncRNA from 2 species